CAUGCAGACCGGGUGACCGCCGUCCCGAUCAAUCGGGAGGGAGGAAAGUCCGGGCUCCUCUGGGCAGGGUGCUGGGUAACUCCCAGGUCCCGACGUCGUCGGGAACGGAAAGUGGCACAGAAACAUACCGUCCCGACUCGUCGGGAUAAGGGUGAAAUCGGACGGUAAGAGCGUCCGGCCGUCUGCGGUGACGCAGCGGCGGCUAAACCCCACCUGGA
rnacentral:RNase_P_RNA from 1 species